AUAGUGACGAGUCCCAAAUAGGACGAAACACGCGUCCUGGAU
rfam:Schistosoma mansoni strain Puerto Rico chromosome 1, complete genome